rnacentral:rRNA from 1 species
AUUUGGAAGCACCGCAAUGCAUGUACCUUCGACGACGAGCAACCUUCUACUUCGCGGCUAGCUCAGCUCAUCUGCGACGAGGCAUACACAUGGGCCUAUGCUGGCGCCAGGGGCCUACAGGCCAUUAUCCCCGCGAGACAUCUGUAA